UACGGAGGAUGCAAGCGUUAUCCGGAAUUAUUGGGCGUAAAGGGUCCGCAGGUGGCCAUGUGUGUCUGCUGUCAAAGAACGAGGCUUAACCUCAUCAAGGCAGUGGAAACUACAUAGCUAGAGUACGGUCGGGGUAGAAGGAAUUCCUGGUGUAGCGGUGAAAUGCGUAGAGAUCAGGAAGAACACCGGUGGCGAAAGCGUUCUGCUAGACCUGUACUGACACUGAGGGACGAAAGCUAGGGGAGCGAAUGGG
rnacentral:rRNA from 1 species